rnacentral:rRNA from 1 species
GACGAACGCUGGCGGCGUGCUUAACACAUGCAAGUCGAACGGAAAGGCCCUGCUUGCAGGGUACUCGAGUGGCGAACGGGUGAGUAACACGUGGGUGAUCUGCCCUGCACUUCGGGAUAAGCCUGGGAAACUGGGUCUAAUACCGGAUAGGAGCCAUUUUUAGUGUGAUGGUUGGAAAGUUUUUUCGGUGUAGGAUGAGCUCGCGGCCUAUCAGCUUGUUGGUGGGGUAAUGGCCUACCAAGGCGGCGACGGGUAGCCGGCCUGAGAGGGUGGACGGCCACAUUGGGACUGAGAUACGGCACAGACUCCUACGGGAGGCAGCAGUGGGGAAUAUUGCACAAUGGGCGCAAGCCUGAUGCAGCGACGCCGCGUGGGGGAUGACGGCCUUCGGGUUGUAAACUCCUUUCGCUAGGGACGAAGCUUUUUGUGACGGUACCUAGAUAAGAAGCACCGGCUAACUACGU